rnacentral:rRNA from 1 species
UACAGGGGGUGCAAACGUUGCUCGGAAUCAUUGGGCGUAAAGCGCACGUAGGCGGUUCGUUAUGUCGGAUGUGAAAGCCCUUGGCUUAACCGAGGAAGUGCAUCCGAAACUGGCGAGCUAGAGUACGAAAGAGGAUCGCGGAAUUCCCGGUGUAGAGGUGAAAUUCGUAGAUAUUGGGAAGAACACCGGUGGCGAAGGCGGCUCACUGGCCCGUUUCUGACGCUCAGGCGCGACAGCGUGGGGAUCAAACAGG